GGGUGCAGCAGGCGCGAAAACUUUGCAAUACACGAAAGUGUGACAGGGCUAUCCCGAGUGCCAUCCGCUGAGGAAGGCUUUUACCCAGUCUAGAACGCUGGGGGAAUAAGGAGAGGGCAAGUCUGGUGUCAGCCGCCGCGGUAAUACCAGCUCUCCGAGUGGUGUGGAUGUUUAUUGGGCCUAAAGCAUCCGUAGCUGGCUAAGUUAGUCCCUUGUUAAAUCCACCGAAUUAAUCGUUGGAUUGCGGGGGAUACUGCUUGGCUAGGGGACGAGAGAGGCAGACGGUAUUUCCGGGGUAGGGGUGAAAUCCUAUAAUCCCGGGAAGACCACCAGUGGCGAAGGCUGUCUGCUAGAACGCGCCCGACGGUGAGGGAUGAAAGCUGGGGGAGCGAACCGGAUUAGAUACCCGGGUAGUCCCAGCUGUAAACGAUGCAGGCUAGGUGUUUGGACGGCCACGUGCCGUUCUAGUGCCGCAGGGAAGCUGUUAAGCCUGCCGCCUGGGGAGUACGAUCGCAAGAUUGAAACUUAAAGGAAUUGGCGGGGGAGCAC
rnacentral:rRNA from 1 species